rnacentral:rRNA from 1 species
UUGAACGCUGGCGGCAGGCCUAACACAUGCAAGUCGAGCGGUAGCACAGAGAGCUUGCUCUCGGGUGACGAGCGGCGGACGGGUGAGUAAUGUCUGGGAAACUGCCUGAUGGAGGGGGAUAACUACUGGAAACGGUAGCUAAUACCGCAUAAUGUCGCAAGACCAAAGUGGGGGACCUUCGGGCCUCAUGCCAUCAGAUGUGCCCAGAUGGGAUUAGCUAGUAGGUGGGGUAACGGCUCACCUAGGCGACGAUCCCUAGCUGGUCUGAGAGGAUGACCAGCCACACUGGAACUGAGACACGGUCCAGACUCCUACGGGAGGCAGCAGUGGGGAAUAUUGCACAAUGGGCGCAAGCCUGAUGCAGCCAUGCCGCGUGUGUGAAGAAGGCCUUCGGGUUGUAAAGCACUUUCAGCGGGGAGGAAGGCGUUAAGGUUAAUAACCUUGGCGAUUGACGUUACCCGCAGAAGAAGCACCGGCUAACUCCGUGCCAGCAGCCGCGGUAAUACGGAGGGUGCAAGCGUUAAUCGGAAUUACUGGGCGUAAAGCGCACGCAGGCGGUCUGUCAAGUCGGAUGUGAAAUCCCCGGGCUCAACCUGGGAACUGCAUUCGAAACUGGCAGGCUAGAGUCUUGUAGAGGGGGGUAGAAUUCCAGGUGUAGCGGUGAAAUGCGUAGAGAUCUGGAGGAAUACCGGUGGCGAAGGCGGCCCCCUGGACAAAGACUGACGCUCAGGUGCGAAAGCGUGGGGAGCAAACAGGAUUAGAUACCCUGGUAGUCCACGCCGUAAACGAUGUCGAUUUGGAGGUUGUGCCCUUGAGGCGUGGCUUCCGGAGCUAACGCGUUAAAUCGACCGCCUGGGGAGUACGGCCGCAAGGUUAAAACUCAAAUGAAUUGACGGGGGCCCGCACAAGCGGUGGAGCAUGUGGUUUAAUUCGAUGCAACGCGAAGAACCUUACCUGGUCUUGACAUCCACAGAACUUAGCAGAGAUGCUUUGGUGCCUUCGGGAACUGUGAGACAGGUGCUGCAUGGCUGUCGUCAGCUCGUGUUGUGAAAUGUUGGGUUAAGUCCCGCAACGAGCGCAACCCUUAUCCUUUGUUGCCAGCGGUUAGGCCGGGAACUCAAAGGAGACUGCCAGUGAUAAACUGGAGGAAGGUGGGGAUGACGUCAAGUCAUCAUGGCCCUUACGACCAGGGCUACACACGUGCUACAAUGGCAUAUACAAAGAGAAGCGACCUCGCGAGAGCAAGCGGACCUCAUAAAGUAUGUCGUAGUCCGGAUUGGAGUCUGCAACUCGACUCCAUGAAGUCGGAAUCGCUAGUAAUCGUAGAUCAGGAUGCUACGGUGAAUACGUUCCCGGGCCUUGUACACACCGCCCGUCACACCAUGGGAGUGGGUUGCAAAAGAAGUAGGUAGCUUAACCUUCGGGAGGGCGCUUACCACUUUGUGAUUCAUGACUGGGGUG